AUUGAACGCUGGCGGCAGGCCUAACACAUGCAAGUCGAACGAGUGGCGGACGGGUGAGUAAUGUCUGGGAAACUGCCCGAUGGAGGGGGGUAACUACUGGAAACGGUAGCUAAUACCGCAUACCAUCGGAUGUGCCCAGAUGGGAUUAGCUAGUAGGUGGGGUAACGGCUCACCUAGGCGACGAUCCCUAGCUGGUCUGAGAGGAUGACCAGCAACACUGGAACUGAGACACGGUCCAGACUCCUACGGGAGGCUGAAGUGGGGAAAAUUGCACAAUGGGCACAAGCCUGAUGCAGCCAUGCCGCGGGUAUGAAGAAGGCCUUCGGGUUGUAAAGUACUUGCAGCGAGGAGGCCUUCCUCGCCGACGAAGCACCGGCUAACUCCGUGCCAGCAGCCGCGGUAAUUC
rnacentral:rRNA from 1 species